rnacentral:misc_RNA from 1 species
AUAAUAUUAUCUCAUUCGAUAAUCAUAUUAAAAAGUUGUAUCAAUAAUUGUUAAUGUGUUUUGGUUGUUUCCAAACACAAUUUCUUUAGCAUUACUUUUGAAAUAAAGACCGAAAAAAUUGGUACCUUAAAAUAGAACUCAAGAUUUUGUACCUUUUGCAGAAAUGCUUUAAUAUUUCCUAAUAUACCUAUUCUGUACAAUUAGACAUUAACAUAUAGUGUGUGUGGUUGAGUUAUAUCCAAGUUUCCCAAUAAAGCAUUAGGAAAAAAAAGUUGUCCAAAAACAAAGUCCCCCCUCUUUCUCUGCCUUUACAGACAUCUCUUUAUAAUAAUUUCAUUUCGAGGAGCUUUAAAAUCGAAAAUUAGAUUGAAACCUCCUGACCAAGUGUUUAAAUUUUACUUAUUACCUUUGAAAAAUAAAAUUGUUUAUACUUUUGUAAAACAAAAGAGAGCCAAGAACAUUUAAGUCAAUUCAAUAUUUACUUCUUCCAAAGAGGGUCAAAAUUUUCUUCGGGUAUACAAUGUAUAUACUAGUCAAAUAAAGAGUCAUCAUAGAUAGAUUCGAGAGGCCAUGUACUGUAUGCAUUGCCACCGUUUUAUUUAAAUUUGUGUGUUUGAUAUUUGUUUGAUUUAUUUGGCACUGCAACAACUUACUUUUUUAUGAGGGAAUUUUGACCUCAGGGAUGGCAAGCAUACAAAAUCAAUAUCGAUUUUCUUUAUUAGCAUCUUAAAAUGAACGUUCUGUAUUGAAUUGUGCCUCUUAAUUGAGUUAAGCUUUUAAAUACUGUUAACAAUGUAACCCUAACAAGGUUAUGAUAUCGAUAUAGGUACAUUGUUAGCGAUUGAAUUUUAUUUUCAAUAUGAAAGUUGUUUGACUUUGGCUCAUUAGGAAACAGAAAUUUAAUUGAGACAUAUGACUAUUGAAAGGAACCCAAUGUUUAUAUACUGAAACUCGUGGAUUAGUUUUGUUCAAUAAACAGAGAACUGUU